rnacentral:rRNA from 1 species
UACGUAGGGUGCAAGCGUUGUCCGGAAUUAUUGGGCGUAAAGAGCUCGUAGGCGGUUUGUCGCGUCUGCUGUGAAAACUCGGGGCUUAACCCCGGGCCUGCAGUGGGUGACGGGCAGACUAGAGUGCGGUAGGGGAGACUGGAAUUCCUGGUGUAGCGGUGAAAUGCGCAGAUAUCAGGAGGAACACCGGUGGCGAAGGCGGUUCUCUGGGCCUUACCUGACGCUGAGGAGCGAAAGCGUAGGUAGCAAACAGG